CCAAAGCUUAGAGGAGAACUACAAAACACACUUCUCUCACGCCGCUUAUUCUUCACCGCCGGCAUCUCUCCCCUCCAAACGACUGGCCAUCACCAUAACCAGCGUCUUCAUCAUCUCCAAAACUAGCAGUGAACAGCAGUGCUGCCAUCUUCACAGCAGCAACCAAACGACCCUAGAACCAAACGACCAGGUCAGUCCAUCGCUGCUGCCUCCUCGUCCGCCAUUUACGUCUCCCUCACGUCCAGCAGCAACCUCACGUCCAGCAGUUCUGUUUCUUUAUCAACAAAAACUCGACCAUAUGAUUUUGCUUUACAGUUCUAUUAUGGAUUCAAUUUAAACUUUAAAGUUUUCAGUUCUAUUAUGCAUUCAAUUUAAACUUAAAAUUUUUGCUUCUUUUGGUUUUAAUGGAAAUCAAUUCAGUUCCGGUUGUGAAGCUUUGUUUGAGUUUGCAACUUGGCCGUUGUUGAAGUUUGUCGCGGUUCUGGUGAGCUCUGAGGUCCCAGCGCAGCUCCGAUUGUCGACUUCCUGUUGAUUGCGAGAAUCAGAUCCGGUUUGUUAGUAAAAUCAUUGAGGUUUGUUUCAUUGUUUCAUUUGGCUUUAGUUAAUUCAUGAAUCUUAGGACUUAUUUUUGUAGGAAUAAAUAGUCGUGAGAGUAUUUAAGUCGUUUAAUUUUUAAGAGUUCCGUGUGAAGUGAAUCUGUUCGUUAAUGCAAUAUAGGUUGUGAUCGAUUUUAAUAUUGAUUCCAUUGUGAAGAUGUUCAAAUUGGGCGAGUUGUUUGUCUUUUAGCAUGUAAAACUCCACCCCCUUUUCCUUGUGUUAGUAAUCCCAAUAGGUGUUGUUGGAAAUAGAAGCAGAAUAUGAUUGAUACUGUGUUCUAUGGUAGUUAUAUUUUGCCAAAACUAACUACAAACCUAGUUUUCGGAAUCUCUAUUUUAAACAGUCAAAUAGAAGGAGGAGCGUCGUCUCCAUUAUUUUGGAAAACAUGCGGCUAUCCAGAGUGUUCUUUUUUUUUUUUGUGUCUUUUCGUCCGUGUUUCUGGAGUUUUUCGUGUAUCUUUUUUGUGUAGUCUAGGUUCUAUUAUAUAGAUUUGAGUCUAGGUUUUAGGAUGAGCUAAUGGAUUUGAGGGAAUUUGGGUCUUAAAAGUUAGUUGGGUCAUUUUAGAAAUUGGCCCAAUUUUAAAAGAAACAAGACCAAAAAUAUAUUGCUUUCUUUGUUUUUUUCUUUUCU
rnacentral:lncRNA from 1 species